CCUACGGGAGGCAGCAGUAAGGAAUAUUGGACAAUGCUCGCAAGAGUGAUCCAGCCAUGCCGCGUGCAGGAAGAAUGCCCUAUGGGUAGUAAACUGCUUUUGAACUAGAGAAAACCCCAGUACGUGUACUGGGCUGAUAGUAUAGUUAGAAUAAGCAUCGGCUAACUUCGUGCCAGCAGCCGCGGUAAGACGAAGGAUGCAAGCGUUAUCCGGAUUCAUUGGGUUUAAAGGGAGCGUAGGUGGACUGAUAAGUCAGUGGUGAAAUCUCCGAGCUUAACUCGGAAAUUGCCAUUGAUACUGUUGGUCUUGAGUACAGUUGCUGUGGGCGGAAUAUGACAUGUAGUGGUGAAAUACAUAGAGAUGUCAUAGAACACCGAUUGCGAAGGCAGCUCACAAAGCUGUAACUGACACUGAGGCUCGAAAGUGCGGGGAUCAAACAGGAUUAGAUACCCUGGUAGUCCGCACCGUAAACGAUGAUUACUCGCUGCUAGGGGGCAAACCGUUUAGUGGCUUAGAGAAGAGANAGUAAUACACCGNGGAGGACGCCGGCGACGAGAACGACGAAGAAGUAGAGGACGNGAGAGNGCGACGGACGACACGAGGGGAGGAGG
rnacentral:rRNA from 1 species